rnacentral:lncRNA from 1 species
AUCACAAGUAUCAGAAACAGCUGGUGAAUAUUUUUCCUCACCUGCCUUUAAUGCGUGUAUUACAGCACAUUGGUUGGUAGUAUCUACUUGAAGAUACAAAAAGUACUGAGAGGGUACUUUGCAAGUGGUCACCUGGCUAAUAAAACAAACAGCUCAGGUUCUGCCAUCCUUCUCCCUACCUUCCAGAGCAAGCACCAGGUUUUAGGUGUUACCUUGCUAGCAUGUUCACCUUUGUAUAUGUGUGUACAAACAAUAGGUCAGUGCGUCCUGGACUGAGAGGGCUUGGCUAUGAAAGGUUACUUCAGCAUGUCCAUUAACACUUCAUUUGAAUAACUUUUGUUUACUAUGUAUUAGGAAAUAAACAACUGGUAUUUGACUUCAAACCAAGACCCACAUGUAUGGUCUUAGGACAAGGAUGUCUUUAAAAAAAAAAACUGAGUUGAGUAAGAGAAAUGUUAAAUGUAAGUAUUGCAAAGAAUAUGACAAAAGUAGCAAGAAUGUGAUAGAACUGAAGUUUGGGAACCCCUGCCUAAGAGAUUCCUCUGGGUAUGCACAUGUGAUGAAAGAAUAAAUCAACUCUAUUCAGGCUUCUGUUUUGGCUCACUACCAUUGUAGACUGUCUGGCAAUUCCAGAUUAGGGAAUUAUCCAUCGUGGGCUUCUAAAGUCCUUGGAUGUCUUUUGCUGCCCCUUAUUCUAUGUGCGUGUUUGAGGAACAAACAUUAGUUUUUUAAUAUUAACCAAACAAAUUAUUUAGCUAAUACUGAGACACAGCAAUGGAAACAUGCCAUUCCCAAAGCCAAAAAUGGCUUCUAGGAUUAGCUUCUAUUCUGGUUGAUUUAUGCCUAUUUUCUCCUCAUUUGAUUGGGUGAUUAAAUUGAUUAGCUCUGAAUUAACUCAACUCUGCAUUCUUGAUAACUUCUGCUAAUAGGUGGGAAUACUUAAAUUUCAAACUUUUGAGCCAUGAUACUAGGCUUGCUUGCUGAAUUGUAUUUGUAUGUAAUCAUGAGAAUGAAGGAUUAGGUUUCUUAGAAGUCAGCAUGAGGAGUUCCUGUUGUGUCCAGCGGUAACAAACCUGACUAGUAACCAUGAGGAUGUGGGUUCGAUCCCUGGCCCUGCUCAGUGUGUUAAGGAUCCCAAGUUCCCGUGAGCUGUGAGCUGUGGUGUGGGUCGCAGACGUGGCCCAGACCCUGAGUUGAUGUGGCUGUGGGAAUUGUUCUCUGCUGUAGAUAUGGCCCCCCACCCCCAAAAAAGUCAGCAUGAAAUCGAAAAAAAUUUAAAAUGUGGUGAAGCAAUCACAUGUCUUAGAGAAACCCUGGGAUCUCUUGGACUAAUCAGUUGACAAGGCUUCCACUCUUGGUAAUGCAUAUUUUCUUUGGUGGUUUUAGGUGACUGAGAAGACUGUUAAAGCAAAAAGCUCUGUUCCUGCCUCAGAUGACAACUAUCCAGAAAUAGAAAAAUUCUUUCCCUUCAAUCCACUAGGUAUCUUGAGUUUGUCUUAGGAUCCUGAAUUCCACUGUGCCUUGUCUUAGGAUCCUGAAUUCAACUGUGACUUGAUAUGGUUAUGGAUAAUGAUAUAUGACCCCAACCUAUAACAAGGCUGUCAGAAUGUGGGUUCUUUUGAACAAAUAUCUUUGUGGAUUUAUUUGUAAGGUUACAUCUUGGGUCAGAAGGGGAAUUGGAACAAAGAUGUUCCAAAUAUUGUUCCUGUCCUCAAAAACUUAACACCUAGGGGAGCUGAGAUGUGUCCACUGACGUGGAACAAGUCUAAAGUGGACAGUCUAACUAGCAGACCUUUUGGAAAGUUGGCUUUAUGUCAAGUUGAACAAUGCUUGAAAAAUCCACAUAGCCAGUGAAUACAUGUGCGUUUGUGCGUUUUUCUCUUUCAACUUGCUUCAUGUAUCUGAAAUAUUUUCUGCUGUAGAGCCAACUUGUCAAGCUUUAAUUUACUCAUAUUUUGAGGAGAGGCUACUGUGUGCCAGGCACAAUUAGGCUUGGGAUGCUGGGAUUAACAAGGCAGGCCCCACCACAAGGAAGCCCAUGAUUUGGAGGCAAAGUCAGGCACUGAACAAAGCAUCUCACUUUGAGGAAGGAGGAAAAACGGGGUCUGGUAGUGAGAUCUGAACUGAGCCUGGAAGAGCAAGGAUGAAUUCCCUUAGGAACUUGAGGUAUUUGGGUGAAGAAGGGCUGAGGCAGGGUAAGAGCACUGUAACAGAGGAAAGUGUGUGCAAAGAUCCUGAGGCAGAAUAAAGGACUGGUGUGGUUCUGGGAAACAAAGGCAGAGUCAAGGAUGAUACUGGUAAGGGGGUGGGGGCAGAUCACACAUGAGCUGUAUUUUUUUGGUGUUUUACCCAAAGAACAUUUAAUCAUGUUAUUAGUGCACAUCUAGGUAGUUUCUGGCUUUUAUACAAUAUAAAACAAUUCUACUCUUAGUGUUAUUUAUCUAAAUUACUGUUGAGAAUGUGUGAGUAUACCCAGAGGACGGACUUUAAGGAAGAUGACUGGGUCUCAAAGUUGUGUGAUUAAGUUUUGAUAUAAUGUGCUUUCAUUCUAAUGAUGACCAUUCAGAACAAUGAGGUAGAUUUAUGCAUAUUGACUAGAAAAGAGGACUAUGACGUACUGUAUUAGAGGAAAGUGAUAUUGCCUUCCAAAAUGGGAGCGCAAAUUAUUGAACACAUUCAAUAAUUACAGCUAACAACAAAUGUUUUAAAACUCUAAUCUCGAUCAGAAAGGUAAUGGGUAUCUCAUUGUUUAAAACUGGGGUGUGUGAGUAUGAGUAUAUUUGAUUAUUGGUCAUUUAAAAUUUUUCUUUUUUAAUUUCCUGUUUCUUUGUUUUCUCUUGAUUUUGUGAUUUCUUAGACUGUGUGUGUAUGUAAAGAGCUUUCUGUGGGAGUUCUCGACAUGGCUCAGUGGUUAACGAAUCCGACUAGGAACCAUGAGGUUGCGCGUUCCAUCCCUGCCCUUGCUCAGUGGGUUAAUGAUCCGGGCGUUGCCCUGAGCUGUGGUGUAGGUUGCAGAUGCGGCUCGGAUCCCGUGUUGCUGUGGCUCUGGAGUAGGCUGGCAGCUACAGCUCCGAUUAGACCCCUAGCCUGGGAACCUCCAUAUGCCGUGGGAGCGGCCCAAGAAAUGGCAAAAAGACAAAAAAAAAAAAAAAAAAAAAGAAAUUUUGCCUAAAAUCAUGGUUCUUAAAUUUGGAUUUAGGAUUUUUGUACCCUUAAAAAUUAGUGAAGACCCCAAAGAACUUUUUUUGUGUUGUUUAUAUAUCUUACAUUAGAAACUAAAAUUGAGAAAUUGAAAAAAAGUAUUAAUUCUUUAAAUAAGCCCAUUACAUUAAUGUAUAUACCUUAAACAUUUUCUUUUAAGAUAAAACAGUUAGUGUGAAGAUUGGCAUGAUUUUAUGUUUUUGAAAUUUUGCUUUAUUUGGCUUAACAUAAAGUUGCUGCAUUCACAUCAGAUUCUGUGUUGUCUGUUGCCUGUUUCGGGUUGAUGUAUAUGAAGAGAUUCUGGCUCUAUGGAGAUACUUAGUUAGAACAGAGAAGUGUUUUAAGUCUUUGAUAUGACACUGAAAUUCAACAGGUGGCUGUUUUGUAUGUAUAGCUGCCAGUGUGGAAUCUGAAACCAUUUCAGUGAACAUUGUGUACUCUGACAAUAAGAGCCGUUGCCCUGUUUUGCACUUUGAUUGUAUUUUUUAUCUUACAUUUAUCAUUCAUUGGUCAUUUAGAAAUACUGGUUUGUUAGGAAAUGUGGGUCAUUUAAAUGUUGCAUUAUGCAGUAUCAAAAGCACACUCCCUGAGCUCGUCAGAGAGGUCUUUAGUAUUAGGAAGCUGUCAAGUUAAUGAUUACACAUAAGUUUUUUGAAAUUCUCGUUCUUUUCCCUUUGAAGUUGUGGAUUUUAUUAUUGGCAGUGAAUACUGUUUGCCUUGAAGUGAUAGACUUCUUUCAUUUCUCAGGGAAACUGUGCAACCCAAACCCAAGUCUGAGUAACCACAGUUUGUCUGUCAGUUCUUUCAAGUAAAUAGUGUCCAGGAAUAAGACCUCUAGUCCGUAUUAUUUUAUUUUUUUGAGGGCUGCACCUGCAGCAUAUGAAAGUUCCCAGGCUAGGGGUUGAAUUGGAGCGGCAGCUGCCAGCCUACACUACAGCCACAGCAAUGCAGGAUCUGAGCCACAUCUGUGACCUACACCACAGCUCAUGGCAACGCCAAAUACUUAACCCACUGAGCGAGGCCAGGGAUCAAAUCCACAUCCUUAUGUUUACUAGUCGGGUUUGUUACUGCUGAGCCACAACGGGAACUCCAAGGACUCUAGUUUAGCUUGCAAAUCAAAUAAUUGCCCAAAUCUUUAUUCUUGGAGAAUACCAUGGUCCUUCAGUAUGCAGCAGAAGUGUUUUAUGGCAUACUCACAUCUUGCCAUACAGAAUACUAAAAAGACAUGUUCUCAAGGGCUGCGAGCUAAUAAAAUUAAUGCUUUUUACUGCAUAUAGUAAAGUGAUAUGUGAAACAGGCAUUUUUUACUGCAGGUGAAUGGUAGCAAGAAAUGUAGUGACUAGUAAAUAUAGUUUAUCGCCACAGCGAUUUUAUCCAACAUUGCUUUAUCCUAUCCAAUUCUAAAUUAUAUCCAAAACAAUAGGAAAUAGUCUCUAUUUUCAUAAUAGACACUCUUACUGGGUCUCUAUUAUGAAAGUAGUUGGACCUCAAGGGCCCUGCAAAAGGUCCUCAGACGCCCAGGGGUCCACUGAGCACCCUGAGAACCACUGCCCUGACAAAGUGCUUUCUCCCUAUUGCAGAUUUUGAGAGUUUCGACCUGCCUGAAGAGCACCAGAUCGCACACCUGCCCUUAAAUGGAGUGCCUCUGAUGGUCCUCCGUGAGGAGAGGGAACUUGAGCAGCUGUUACACCUGGGCCCCCCUUCGCCUCUGAACAUGCCUUCUCCACCGUGGGAGUCUGGUAAGUGAACGCGUGCCUUCUAGGAGGGCUGUAAACAGUCUGUGUCUUAACACUUCAGUACCGUGGGCACAGAAUGCUGCAGAAGGAGAAUCCCUCAAACCACAUGGAUGAGGUCUCAGGAUAAUGAAAACUCUUGUCCAUUGGUAUUGCUUUUCAGCCCCAAAUGCCCAGUCAAAUGAAGUCAUUCUGGAAUUUGAACACUCUUAGAUUCAAGCGGGAUGAAAUUUAGUGUAUAACUUCUUAGGUUUUAAGUUGAAGUUAAAUAGACUAGCUUGGGAUGAGAAUUCCAAAUUGUAUCCAAAGCUGGGAAUAAGACCUGCGCAACUGCAGUGAUUGGCAACCUUACUGCUGAAGGUUGAGGUUUGGUUUAAGCUAGUGGUCAAAAGUCGUCAUUAGUAUGUUCUAUUCAUUUUGAUGGAAGAAUAACUUAACACUAUUUUAAAAAUGACACUAGUGAUAAUUGUUGGCUCUUACUGGGUCUCUAGGAAUGAUACAGUUUUGGGUGCUUCUGAGAUUUACUUCCUAAUGAAGGUUAGUUCUGGGACCACAGCCACAUUCCAAGAAGUGAGGUGUGUGUGUAGGUAUGUAGGUGGGGCUGGGGUAAGGAUUCAUUAGGCACAGGGGAAAAGAAGAAUUCAUGAUUAAAAGUGACAGGGAGUUCCCGUCGUGGCACAGUGGUUAAUGAAUCUGACUAGGAACCAUGAGGUUGCAGGUUUGAUCCCUGGCUUUGCUCAGUGGGUUAAAGAUCCGGCGUUGCCAUGAGCUGUGGUGUAGGUUGCAGAUGCCGCUCGGAUCCUGAGUUGUUGUGGCUCUGGCAUAGGCUGGUGGCUACAGCUAUGAUUAGACCCCUAGCCUGGGAACCUCCAUAUGCCUGUGCCGUGGGAGCAGCCCUAGAAAAG